CCUACGGGAGGCAGCAGUGAGGAAUAUUGGUCAAUGGACGCAAGUCUGAACCAGCCAAGUCGCGUGAAGGAUGACGGCCCUACGGGUUGUAAACUUCUUUUGUCAGGGAGCAAUUGGGUCCACGCGUGGGCUUAGCGAGAGUACCUGAAGAAAAAGCAUCGGCUAACUCCGUGCCAGCAGCCGCGGUAAUACGGAGGAUGCGAGCGUUAUCCGGAUUUAUUGGGUUUAAAGGGUGCGUAGGCGGAAUAUCAAGUCAGCGGUAAAAAUUCGGGGCCCAACCCCGGGACUGCUUUGGAAACUGUGUAACUGGAGUACAGGAGGGGCAGGCGGAAUUCCUGGUGUAGCGGUGAAAUGCGUAGAUAUCAGGAGGAACACCGGCGGCGAAGGCGGCCUGCUGGACUGAAACUGACGUUGAGGCUCGAAAGCGUGGGGAGCAAACAGGAUUAGAUACCCGUGUAGUC
rnacentral:rRNA from 1 species